rnacentral:rRNA from 1 species
UACGUAGGGUGCAAGCGUUGUCCGGAAUUAUUGGGCGUAAAGAGCUCGUAGGCGGUCUGUCGCGUCGGCUGUGAAAACCCAGGGCUCAACCCUGGGCCUGCAGUCGAUACGGGCAGACUAGAGUCCGGCAGGGGAGACUGGAAUUCCUGGUGUAGCGGUGAAAUGCGCAGAUAUCAGGAGGAACACCGGUGGCGAAGGCGGGUCUCUGGGCCGGAACUGACGCUGAGGAGCGAAAGCCAGGGGAGCAAACGGG